AUGCUCACUCAAUACUCUUCGACUCCGCCUUCGCUCAGCGUCGCAGUUUUGACUUCUAAUCAUCACGAGAAUUUCAGAGAGAACUCUGACGCUUCUCUGAGAAGUUUCAAAAGGCAAAAAUCCUCUCCCCUCUCAAUAAAGAUUGAAGCCUAUUAUAUAGCAGUUAGCUUGACUUAUCAGAGAAGUUUAUUACAGGACCACUUUUUCUUUAAUUUGGACAGUAAGGCAUAUUUAUGUUUAAUCCAUAUUGGAGAGGUUUUAAACAAAUUUGGAAUCGAUUCAUGUGAGGGUUGCAACAGGAGCACAAAAGUCUUGAAGUUUGGAUAUGGAGAUUGGAGGAAGAUUGGGAUAUGGAAGCAUGAAGACUAA